AUUGAACGCUGGCGGCAUGCCUUACACAUGCAAGUCGAACGGCAACAGGUCUUCGGAUGCUGACGAGUGGCGAACGGGGGAGUAAUACAUCGGAACGUCCCCGAGAGUGGGGGAUAACGAGGCGAAAGCUUUGCUAAUACCGCAUACGAUCUCAGGAUGAAAGCAGGGGCCGCCAAGGCCCUGCGCUCACGGAGCGGCCGAUGGCAGAUUAGGUAGUUGGUUGGAUAAAAGCUUACCAAGCCGUCGAUCUGUAGCUGGUCUGAGAGGACGACCAGCCACACUGGGACUGAGACACGGCCCAGACUCCUACGUGAGGCAGCAGUGGGGAAUUUUGGACAAUGGGCGCAAGCCUGAUCCAGCCAUGCCGCGUGCAGGAUGAAGGCCUUCGGGUUGUAAACUGCUUUUGUACGGAACGAAAAGACUCUGGUUAAUACCUGGGGUCCAUGACGGUAACGUAAGAAUAAGCACCGGCUAACUACGCGCCAGCCGCCGCCGUAAGAC
rnacentral:rRNA from 1 species